GCCUUCGUGGUGUAGCGGUCAGCACGCUCGACGCGUAACCGAGAGGUCCGUGGUUCGAUUCCCGACGAAGGCG
rnacentral:tRNA from 1 species